AGGUGUGUGUCCAUAACCGAGUGUGUGUCCAUAACCGAGUGUGUGUCCAUAACCAGGUGUGUGUCCAUAACCAGGUGUGUGUUCAUAACCGAGUGUGUGUG